UACGUAGGUGGCAAGCGUUGUCCGGAUUUACUGGGCGUAAAGAGCGCGCAGGCGGUCGUUCAAGUCGCGUGUGAAAGCCCCCGGCUCAACUGGGGAGGGUCACGCGAUACUGAUCGACUCGAAGGCAGGAGAGGGUAGUGGAAUUCCCGGUGUAGCGGUGGAAUGCGCAGAUAUCAGGAGGAACACCGGUGGCGAAGGCGGGUCUCUGGGCAGUAACUGACGCUGAGGAGCGAAAGCGUGGGGAGCGAACGGG
rnacentral:rRNA from 1 species